rfam:Nicotiana sylvestris Nsyl_contig48233, whole genome shotgun sequence.
UGGACAACUUAUUGUAUUCGACUGUAUUUACGGCGUGAAACAGGGGAUUACACUGUUUCUAAACGGAAAGUGAAUCAAUUGACAUAAUAGACUCCU